AAUGACUCUCGGCAACGGAUAUCUCGGCUCUCGCAUCGAUGAAGAACGUAGCGAAAUGCGAUACUUGGUGUGAAUUGCAGAAUCCCGUGAACCAUCGAGUCUUUGAACGCAAGUUGCGCCCGAAGCCUUUUGGCCGAGGACACGUUUGCCUGGGCGU
rnacentral:rRNA from 1 species